CCUACGGGGGGCAGCAGUGAGGAAUAUUGGUCAAUGGGCGUAAGCCUGAACCAGCCAAGUCGCGUGAGGGAUGAAGGUUCUAUGGAUCGUAAACCUCUUUUAUAAGGGAAUAAAGUGCGGGACGUGUCCCGUUUGGUAUGUACCUUAUGAAUAAGGAUCGGCUAACUCCGUGCCAGCAGCCGCGGUAAUACGGAGGAUCCGAGCGUUAUCCGGAUUUAUUGGGUUUAAAGGGUGCGUAGGCGGCCUUUUAAGUCAGCGGUGAAAGUCUGUGGCUCAACCAUAGAAUUGCCGUUGAAACUGGGAGGCUGGGGUAUGUUUGAGGCAGGCGGAAUGCGUGGUGUAGCGGUGAAAUGCUUAGAUAUCACGCAGAACCCCGAUUGCGAAGGCAGCCUGCCAAGCCAUGACUGACGCUGAUGCACGAAAGCGUGGGGAUCAAACAGGAUUAGAUACCCCUGUAGUC
rnacentral:rRNA from 1 species